UACGUAGGGUGCAAGCGUUGUCCGGAAUUAUUGGGCGUAAGGAGCUCGUAGGCGGUUUGUCGCGUCUGCUGUGAAAACCCGAGGCUCAACCUCGGGCCUGCAGUGGGUACGGGCAGACUAGAGUGCGGUAGGGGAGAUCGGAAUUCCUGGUGUAGCGGUGGAAUGCGCAGAUAUCAGGAGGAACACCAAUGGCGAAGGCAGAUCUCUGGGCCGUAACUGACGCUGAGGAGCGAAAGCAUGGGGAGCGAACAGG
rnacentral:rRNA from 1 species